rnacentral:rRNA from 1 species
UGGAUCCAGACUUUGAUUAUGGCUCAGGAUGAACGCUAGCUACAGGCUUAACACAUGCAAGUCGAGGGGCAGCAUAUCGGUAGCUUGCUACUGGUGAUGGCGACCGGCGCACGGGUGAGUAACGCGUAUCCAACCUUCCCAUGACUGGGGAAUAACCUUGCGAAAGUAAGACUAAUACCCCAUGGUUUCCGAGGCGGACAUCCAAUUUGGAAUAAAGAUUCAUCGGUCAUGGAUGGGGAUGCGUCUGAUUAGCUUGUUGGCGGGGUAACGGCCCACCAAGGCGACGAUCAGUAGGGGUUCUGAGAGGAAGGUCCCCCACAUUGGAACUGAGACACGGUCCAAACUCCUACGGGAGGCAGCAGUGAGGAAUAUUGGUCAAUGGACGAGAGUCUGAACCAGCCAAGUAGCGUGCAGGAUGACGGCCCUAUGGGUUGUAAACUGCUUUUAUACGGGAAUAAAGUGGCUCACGUGUGGGUUUUUGUAUGUACCGUAUGAAUAAGGACCGGCUAAUUCCGUGCCAGCAGCCGCGGUAAUACGGAAGGUCCGGGCGUUAUCCGGAUUUAUUGGGUUUAAAGGGAGCGUAGGCCGCCGAUUAAGCGUGUUGUGAAAUGA